GAUGUCUUGAGAGAAACAAGAGGCCUUCAGGACCCGACCCGUACUACCUUUCCUCACUACCUCUCGAGCGCAGCUGCACGGACCAAGCUCGCCACCCCACCGCCCAGCGAAGAGAGGCCCGGCCGAGCCCUCGGCUCUCCCGCCGCCGGAGCUGCGGUGCGUGACUCCCUUCUCCCUCUGGAGGGAGACACAGUCCAGUUUUUGGCUGCCGCCGGCGCCGCCGCGUCCCUCCUGCCCCUGCUCCGGCAGCCGCGGCCCCCCUUCCCCGGGGCAGCUGCCCUGCCCUGCCCUGCCCGGCUCGGUGGCUCCCUGCCCGCCCGCCCAGCGUCCCGCUGCAGGGGCAGAGGGGUCCCGGGGAGCUGCGGCGGGGCCGCCGGGGGUCCGCGGGCAUCUCCCCGGCCACAUGCGCCUUUGCGUAAACUUCGCACCCCCGCCCCGCCGCUCGGAGCGGAGAGACGGGAGAGCUGCGCUGCGGAGGGAGGCGGCCCAAGCCCCGGUGUGCGCGGGCGGCGGCGGUGGGCGCUGCCGGCUGAGCCCCCUCCUCGCUCAGACAGAACGGCGGCCGCUGGGACCUGCUCCCUCAUAAGGGCUGGGGAGGAGAGCCGCGAGUGGCCGGGUAAAUACGGGGGAGGAGAAGGGCGUCUCUUCCUCUCCCCACCUUCCUCCACCUCCUCCCUCCCCCCCGCCGCGGAGGGCGCGCUUGGAACUGCCUCUGUCUGUCCGGGCGCCCGGGGCGUCUCCGCGCCCUUCCGCGGUGCGGUGCGCGCAGGCUGGGCGAGGGCGGCUGCUGCUGCUGAAGCUGCUGAAGGUGAAGCUCUCGCUCUCCAAUUACUUUUCCCAAGAGAGAGAAGGAGGCAGCAGGAGGGGGAAGUCGUGCUGUGUGUGGAAGGCACACCAAUCAGAGAUGCUCUAACGGAGGGACUGCUGCAGGACGCGCCGGCUUCUCCUCUUUCCUCUGCCGGCGGUGCUGAAUCGGGACCACGCGCAGCUGGCGUAGCGGCCGGAGCCGUACUAGCCUGCAGGACUUUCCCAUCUCCGCUUUUCCGAUAG
rnacentral:lncRNA from 1 species